UACGGAGGAUCCGAGCGUUAUCCGGAUUUAUUGGGUUUAAAGGGUGCGUAGGCGGUUUGAUAAGUUAGAGGUGAAAUGUCGGGGCUCAACCCCGAAACUGCCUCUAAUACUGUUGGACUAGAGAAUAGUUGCGGUAGGCGGAAUGUAUGGCGUAGCGGUGAAAUGCUUAGAGAUCAUACAGAACACCGAUUGCGAAGGCAGCUUACCAAACUAUAUCUGACGUUGAGGCACGAAAGCGUGGGUAGCAAACAGG
rnacentral:rRNA from 1 species